rnacentral:rRNA from 1 species
UACAGAGGGUGCGAGCGUUGUCCGGAAUCACUGGGCGUAAAGGGUGCGUAGGCGGGGCUUUAAGUCAGGGGUGAAAUCCUGGAGCUCAACUCCAGAACUGCCUUUGAUACUGAAGAUCUUGAGUUCGGGAGAGGUGAGUGGAACUGCGAGUGUAGAGGUGAAAUUCGUAGAUAUUCGCAAGAACACCAGUGGCGAAGGCGGCUCACUGGCCCGAUACUGACGCUGAGGCACGAAAGCGUGGGGAGCAAACAGG